rnacentral:tRNA from 1 species
UAGCUCAGUCGGUUGAGCGUGAUGCUGAUAACACCAAGGUCGCGGGUUCGAUCCCCGU